AGUUUGAUCCUGGCUCAAGAUAAACGCUGGCGGCGCACAUAAGACAUGCAAGUCGAACGAACUUAAUUCAUUCUUUUAGAUUGGAAGCGGUUAGUGGCGGACUGGUGAGUAACGCGUGAGCAACCUGCCUUUCAGAGGGGGAUAACGUUUGGAAACGAACGCUAAUACCGCAUAAGACCACACUUCCACAUGGGAGAGGGGUCAAAGGAGCAAUCCGCUGAAAGAUGGGCUCGCGUCCGAUUAGAUAGUUGGUGGGGUAACGGCCUACCAAGUCUACGAUCAGUAGCCGGACUGAGAGGUUGAACGGCCACAUUGGGACUGAGAUACGGCCCAGACUCCUACGGGAGGCAGCAGUCGGGAAUAUUGCGCAAUGGAGGAAACUCUGACGCAGUGACGCCGCGUAUAGGACGAAGGUCUUCGGAUUGUAAACUAUUGUCGUUAGGGAAGAGAAAGGACAGUACCUAAGGAGGAAGCUCCGGCUAACUACGUGCCAGCAGCCGCGGUAAUACGUAGGGAGCAAGCGUUAUCCGGAUUUAUUGGGUGUAAAGGGUGCGUAGACGGGAAAUUAAGUUAGUUGUGAAAUCCCUCGGCUCAACUGANGAACUGCAACUAAAACUGGUUUUCUUGAGUGUUGGAGAGGAAAGCGGAAU
rnacentral:rRNA from 1 species